UGAGGAAUUUUGCGCAAUGGGAGCAAUCCUGACGCAGCAACGCCGCGUGGGUGAGGAAGGUUUUCGGAUUGUAAAGCUCUGUCGAGCGGAAAGAAAUGCAUUAUGGCUAAUAUCCAUAAUGCUUGACGGUACCGCUAAAGGAAGCACCGGCUAACUCCGUGCCAGCAGCCGCGGUAAUACGGGGGAUGCAAGCGUUAUCCGGAUUUAUUGGGUCUAAAGGGUCUGUAGCCGGCCGGAUAAGUCUCUUGAGAAAUCUGGCAGCUUAACUGUCAGGCUUUCAGGAGAUACUGUCUGGCUCGAGGCCGGGAGAGGUGAGAGGUACUUCAGGGGUAGGGGUGAAAUGCGUAGAUAUCUAGAGGAACGCCAGAAGCGAAAGCGGGGCACUGGGCCGAUUCUGACGCUGAGACGCGAAAGCGUGGGGAGCAAACA
rnacentral:rRNA from 1 species